CCUACGGGAGGCAGCAGUGAGGAAUAUUGGUCAAUGGCCGGAAGGCUGAACCAGCCAUGCCGCGUGAAGGUCAGUGCCCUAUGGGCGUUAAACUUCUUUUGUGCGGGAGCAAUAAUGGUCACGUGUGGCCAGACGAGAGUACCGUACGACUAAGCAUCGGCUAACUCCGUGCCAGCAGCCGCGGUAAUACGGGGGAUGCAAGCGUUAUCCGGAUUUAUUGGGGUUAAAGGGUGCGUAGGCUGUGAGGUAAGUCAGCGGUGAAAUGCCCCCGCUCAAAGGGGUGAAGUGCCAUUGCUACUGCCUUGCUGGAAUGCGGAUGCCGUGGGAGGAAUGUGUGGUGUAGCGGUGAAAUGCAUAGAUAUCACACAGAACACCGAUUGCGAAGGCAUCUCACGAAUCCGCGAUUGACGCUGAUGCACGAAAGCGUGGGUAUCAAACAGGAUUAGAUACCCGAGUAGUC
rnacentral:rRNA from 1 species